AACAUUUGGAAACAGAUGCUAAUACCGCAUAACARCGUUGUUCGCAUGAACAACGCUAAAAGAUGGCUUCUCGCUAUCACUUCUGGAUGGACCUGCGGUGCAUUAGCUUGUUGGUGGGGUAAYGGCCUACCAAGGCGAUGAUGCAUAGCCGAGUUGAGAGACUGAUCGGCCACAAUGGGACUGAGACACGGCCCAUACUCCUACGGGAGGCAGCAGUAGGGAAUCUUCCACAAUGGGCGCAAGCCUGAUGGAGCAACACCGCGUGAGUGAAGAAGGGUUUCGGCUCGUAAAGCUCUGUUGUUAAAGAAGAACACGUAUGAGAGUAACUGUUCAUACGUUGACGGUAUUUAACCAGAAAGUCACGGCUAACUACGUGCCAGCAGCCGCGGUAAUACGUAGGUGGCAAGCGUUAUCCGGAUUUAUUGGGCGUAAAGAGAGUGCAGGCGGUUUUCUAAGUCUGAUGUGAAAGCCUUCGGCUUAACCGGAGAAGUGCAUCGGAAACUGGAUAACUUGAGUGCAGAAGAGGGUAGUGGAACUCCAUGUGUAGCGGUGGAAUGCGUAGAUAUAUGGAAGAACACCAGUGGCGAAGGCGGCUACCUGGUCUGCAACUGACGCUGAGACUCGAAAGCAUGGGUAGCGAACAGGAUUAGAUACCCUGGUAGUCCAUGCCGUAAACGAUGAGUGCUAGGUGUUGGAGGGUUUCCGCCCUUCAGUGCCGGAGCUAACGCAUUAAGCACUCCGCCUGGGGAGUACGACCGCAAGGUUGAAACUCAAAGGAAUUGACGGGGGCCCGCACAAGCGGUGGAGCAUGUGGUUUAAUUCGAAGCUACGCGAAGAACCUUACCAGGUCUUGACAUCUUGCGCCAACCCUAGAGAUAGGGCGUUUCCUUCGGGAACGCAAUGACAGGUGGUGCAUGGUC
rnacentral:rRNA from 1 species